GCAUGCAAGUCGAACGAUUCACUUCGGUGAAGAGUGGCAAACGGGUGAGUAACAUAUUGGUAACCUACCUUGAAGUGGGGCAUAACCCCGAGAAAUCGGAGCUAAUACCCCAUGUGCUCGUAUUUCAUAUGAGAUACGCGUAAAGAUUUAUCGCUUCAAGAGGGGCCUAUAUCCCAUCAGCUUGUUGGUAGUGUAAAGGACUACCAAGGCUACGACGGGUAGCGGGUGUGAGAGCACGACCCGCCUCAAUGGGACUGAGACACUGCCCAUACUCCUACGGGAGGCUGCAGUCAAGAAUCUUCCGCAAUGCACGAAAGUGUGACGGAGCGACGCCGCGUGAUCGAAGAAGCCCUUCGGGGUGUAAAGAUCUUUUAUCAGGGAAGAACGAUGACGGUACCUGAUGAAUAAGGGGCUGCUAAACUCGUGCCAGCAGCAGCGGUAAUACGAGUGCCCCGAGCGUUAUCCGGAUUUAUUGGGCGUAAAGCGUCUCAAGGCUGUUUGAUAAGUCAAUUGUCAAAUCUCAGGGCUUAACCCUGAGACUGCAAUCGAAACUAUCAGACUAGAGAAUGGGAGAGGUCAGCGGAAUGGCUGGUGUAGCAGUAAAAUGCGUUAAUAUCAGUUGGAACACCAAA
rnacentral:rRNA from 1 species